ACUCAAAGGAAUUGACGGGGACCCGCACAAGCGGUGGAGCAUGUGGUUUAAUUCGAGGCAACGCGAAGAACCUUACCAGCUCUUGACAUGUCCAGUAUGGUCGGCAGAGAUGCCUUCCUUCACCUCGGGUGGCUGGAACACAGAUGCUGCAUGGCUGUCGUCAGCUCGUGUCGUGAGAUGUUGGGUUAAGUCCCGCAACGAGCGCAACCCUCGCCCUUAGUUGCCAUCAUUAAGUUGGGAACUCUAAGGGAACCGCCGGUGUCAAGCCGGAGGAAGGUGGGGACGACGUCAAGUCAUCAUGGCUCUUACGGGCUGGGCUACACACGUGCUACAAUGGUGGUGACAAUGGGCAGCAACCUCGCAAGGGGAAGCUAAUCUCCAAAAGCCAUCUCAGUUCAGAUUGUCCUCUGCAACUCGAGGGCAUGAAGCUGGAAUCGCUAGUAAUCGUAGAUCAGCAUGCUACGGUGAAUACGUUCCCGGGUCUUGCACACACCGCCCGU
rnacentral:rRNA from 1 species